UAUUCGGCGUACUGGUGAAGGUGACCUAUGCCGAGUAACAAGUGAUCUUCGUCGUCUAGGUGAGAGUGACCUCCGUUGUCCAAGAGGUGAUGGUGAUCUAUGACAGCGCCCAGGAGAAGGUGAUCUGUGUCGACGCCCAGGGGAAGGUGAUCUACGUCGGCGCACUGGAGAAGGUGAUCUACGCCGACGCACUGGAGAAGGUGAUCUACGUCGUCGCACAGGAGAAGGUGAUCUACGUCGUCGCACAGGAGAAGGCGAUCUACGUCGUCGCACAGGAGAAGGCGAUCUACGUCGUCGCACAGGAGAAGGCGAUCUACGUCGUCGCACAGGAGAAGGCGAUCUAUGUCGUCGAACAGGAGAAGGUGAUCUACGUCGUCGAAAAGAUGGUGAUCUACGAUGGACUGGAGAAUGCAUUCUGCGUCGUUCAGGAGAAGGAGAUCUAGAUCUUCUUGAAUAAGGU
rnacentral:lncRNA from 1 species